AUUGAACGCUGGCGGCAGGCCUAACACAUGCAAGUCGAGCGGAGCUGCUGACGGGUGAGUAAUGCCUAUGUAUCUGCCUGGUCGUGUGGGAUAACGUCCGGGAUCGGGCGCUAAUACCGCAUAUUAUCCGAUGAGUCUAGGUCGGAUUAGCUAGUUGGUGGGGUAAAGGCCUACCAAGGCGACGAUGCGUAGCUGGUUUGAGAGGAUGAUCAGUAACACUGGAAAGGAGACACGGUCCAGAAUCCGAAGUGAGGCAGGAGUGGGGAAUCUUGGACAAUGGGCGAAAGCCUGAUCCAGCCAAGCCGCGUGUGUGUAGAAGGGCAUCGGAUUGUAAAGCACUUUAAGUUGGGAGGCGGUACCAACAGAAUAAGCACCGGCUAACUUCGUGCCAGCAGCCGCGGUAAUUC
rnacentral:rRNA from 1 species